AUCUAUGCCGAGGGCGCGUCAGGUGAGUCGCAGUGAUCUUCUCGUUCUUUCUUUCGCGAGAUUUUAGGGUUCUUGAGGGUUUUCUUCGUUACUCGUGCCAGGAUGAAGGCGGUAGGACCUGGAGCAGGACUGGGAUUGGCUCCCGUUGUGGGUGUUGCCACUGCGAGCAAGAAGAAGCGCGAGUAUAAGCUCACGAAUCGACUCCAGGAAGGCAAGCGACCACUCUAUGCCAUCGCGUUUAAUUUCUUGGAUAUGAGAUAUCACAAUACCUUUGCUUCCGCCGGUGGAAACAGAAUUACAGUCUAUCAGUGCUUGGAAGGAGGUGCUGUGGCCGUGCUACAGGCUUAUGUCGAUGAGGAUAAAGACGAAUCGUUUUACACAGUUACUUGGGCCUGCGAUCUCAGUGGCUUGCCUUUGCUCAUUGCGAGCGGAAGCAACGGGAUUAUACGCGUUAUAGACUGCGGAAUGGAGAGAUUGUCGAAGAGCUUUGUUGGGCAUGGAGAUUCUAUCAAUGAGUUAAGGACGCAGAGUCAGAACCCGUUUUUGAUAGCGUCUGCAAGCAAGGAUGAAUCUAUACGACUUUGGAAUCUACAAACAGGUGUCUGCAUCUUAAUAUUUGGUGGAGCUGGCGGUCAUCGGAACGAAGUACUUAGUGUGGACUUCCAUCCAUCCAAUACAUUUCUUCUAGCUAGCUGUGGAAUGGACAACAGUAUAAAGAUCUGGUCGUUUAAAGAUUUUUGGAUAUAUGUGGAGCAAUCUAAAACCUGGACUGACGUAUCCUCUCGUUUUCCCACCAAAUACGUGCAAUUUCCGAUUUUUAACGCAGUUGUACACUCAAACUACGUGGAUUGUACUAGGUGGCUCGGCGACUUUGUCUUGUCCAAGAGUGUGGAUAAUGAAAUCGUUUUGUGGGAACCAAUCUUCAGAGAGCAUUCUUCCAACGACGGUGCUGUAGAUGUCAUCCAGAAGUACCCAGUGCCAGACUGGGACAUAUGGUUUAUAAAAUUCUCGUGUGACUUUUACUUCAGUACCAUGUCAAUAGGCAACAGGGAAGGCAAGGUUGUUGUUUGGGAUCUCCAAUCCAGUCCUCCGGGCUUCGUUGCAAAGCUCUCACAUUCGCAGUGCAAGUCGCCCAUAAGACAAACAGCAACUUCUGUGGAUGGAAGCACCAUCCUGUGCUGCUGUGAAGACGGCAGCAUUUGGCGCUGGGACUCUGCACCGUGACGAUCAACUCAAAAUUCCCAGCGGGAUCUUUACAAUAUAGUUCGGUACGCGUACAUAUACAAGACUUGAACUUGAGAUCAAAGGAGUGAAUUAUCUGAUUUGCAUCUGAUUUUGUUGCUAACAUCACCAAAGACUUUGUCACGAUCCAGCAAAAGCUCCAGUAUUGCAACAAGACAUACCCGCAAGCUUCAGCCUUCUUGUCUCCACUCAUCGACUACGCUGGCUUGGGCACCACGGGCAGUCCUCCAAGUCUCAUCGCCGUCCUGCGCGGGAUCAUAGACCUCCUCGAUGAUUUGCUGUUCGCAAACUUUGGGAGCACUCCAAAGGUGCCACCCGGUUUCUCAUCAUGCCUCCAGGAAGUGAUCGACAAGCUACUCCGCCUUUUAUACUCCACAACUGGAACUUACAGGAUUCUCGUCUCGUUCUUGCUCGCAAGUGUAUACCUCGUCAAAGGCAUCUUGGUUCCUUGAGGCGAGAAGAUCUUCAGAUAGUUUGAGAAACGAGCAUAAGCCAUCUCUACAUUGAUAUGAAUAAUAGUAAUAAUACUAAGAUGCAAACCAA